rnacentral:lncRNA from 1 species
CUAAAAAUUUGGGGGAUUUUUAUCUCGAUUUUUUUGGUACAACAUUGAGUCUUUAGCUUUGUAAAUGCUUUAAAUGUGUGAUUAAUUGAUGGGAAGAUUAGAAAAAGGAGAAGGGAGUACAAAGUUAUGAAUUGGGUCUAAUUUGGAUAUGGGAUUUUAGUGAGAUAUAUCAUAUCGCGGUAGAGCCCCUAGGGAACUAUUCACCUUGGGAGUGGUCGGAUGAGUGACUAAGUCCGAACAAAAAGACUUAUUCAUUUUUUGGACACAUGGCUUUGAACCCACUUUUUGGUUUUUGAUCUGAGCUUUGAACCCAUCUUAAACAGCACUCAUGCCUAAACAGCUGAAAAUGCUUAGUCACGAUCUAAUAAUAAGAUACAUUGCAAAAUCUACUUUACACAUCAGAAAGAAGAGCCGAUAAACGAUAGACCAAACAUUACAAAGCUAAUAACUCUUUUAAUAUUGAUUAAAAGAGCAAAAAAAUACAACGUACUGAACAAAGUUAAACAUAGAAGAUUAACUACUUAAAGUACCCUAGAAGGCUAGAACCCUCCCUAAACCCCAUUUAUCCCCUAAACUUAGAUUAGUCUUCCUUCCAUAUCCACAUUACUUAGAUUACACAACACUAAACAUACCAUCCCCAAAUGCACUGAUACUAGAACAAGGCUACAAGUUCCAUCCCUUCCUACACCAAAUUGCCCAUGUGCUGUCAUUGAUGCUGUCAUUCCCCACAAAGCUUCACUUCACAUAAUGUGGCACCCAUUUUUAUUUUCAUCACUGAACAACGUGAAGUAAUCCGAUGGCGGUGGUGAAUAAUACGGUGGUAAUAUGGUCAAACCCAAUGAAGGUGGCGGUGCACUGGCUAAAAAGAAGAUUGAAGGAAUAGAAGAAAUAGUGUAAGAAGGGGACAAGGAAUGCGCUGUGGCAGAGACAAUUUUUACUGGCUUGGAAAAUCUGAAUUUUCUUUGUUAGUAUUUAUGUUAGAAAAUUGUUCAUGGUAAGCAGUUGAUUGGAAGUCCGAAUUGAGCUCUUACAGAUUAUUGAACUCUAAUAAUCUGUUAGUACAAUGCCAAGCACUCCAAUACUCCAAAUACUUGUAUACUUUAAUGUCGAAGUAUGCAGGACAGCCUCUAGAGCUUUGAAUCUUAGUUAUAUACAAUGGGAAUUAAGGUUUUUAAUUUUGAAGGUUAAUUUUGAUCGGUGGUAAAGCGCAUUGUGAAUAGUCAAAUACAACCUCGUUUGUAUAUUAACUUUACUGUAUAUCUUUAUUUUCUUAUGAUUUUUUCUUAUCUGGAUGCCAAAAUACUUGGAUUUGGCUUUUAUAUGGAACAGUUGAUACAUCGAUUUAUACUAGAUUGAGAAAUCUGGCGAACUCAUGGAAUUGCUUAAGCUUAUAGGGCAUUUCUUAAUUAGACAUUAUGUUGAAUACAAGUUGUUUUCAUAAGGUAGAUAGAGUUCUAAUGCAAAGCUUCUAUAGCAACAGUGGUUUUACAUGGGCACUUUACGUGAUGUGUAAAAUUGCAACUAAAAAUGUAAUAUUUGAAGAAACUAAGCAAUAAAAAGGCAGACUUAUUCCUCCUCCAGCCUCCUGUUUUCUGCGCAUUCUACCUUUUGCAUGUCGCUUAUUUUUCAUUGGUCAUAUCAAACGUACUGUAAUGUUUUGGGAUCAAAAGAGAAAUCGUACUAGGAUAUAUCUGGCAUACAGCGUAUUUGUAUUAGUAGUUAGUUUAUGUUAGUCCUUAGUUAUGUUCAUUCCCUCUAUUUGCUAUAUGGUAUUUCCACUUUUGUGAUCUAUUAUGCAUGCUAUUCAGGGCCUUUGUUAUUUUGUUUGGAUGUGCAGUGAGAUUACUCCUGAAGGAAGACGUAUAACCAAGCUUGAUCAGAUUUUACUCAAUGGAAACAAUAUUGCCAUUGUAAGUUAAACAUGGGUGUUCUUUAUUUGCCUGGAUGAAAUAAUUGAAUUUCCGGUGAAUAUGCAAGUGAUUGUUAGGUUUUCUUUGUCAAGUAUAGUACUACACUUUUUGUAGCCUUUUUCUUUUCUCGCCUUAUAUUUGACAACCUACUCUUGUAACUAUUUCUGCAAGCUCAUGGUUUCUACUUGGCCUUUUCAAUAGAAGCUAGAGCCAGCAUAAAACAUAGAUGAAAGAUUUCAAACUGUUGUUAUAAAUUGUCUAAUGGUUUGUGCACAACGUCAAUGCAGCUGGUCCCUGGCGGCUCACCUGAAGCGGAAUGAGAGGGAACUCCGCACUCCGUUAUUGAAUGUUUGCAUUACCUAUGGUUCAGGGGAGAUCGUUUAUCUUUUUCAUCGAGAACUGGGCCCCCCUGGAUGCCCUUUAUUUGCU